rnacentral:rRNA from 1 species
UACGUAGGGGGCAAGCGUUGUCCGGAAUCAUUGGGCGUAAAGCGCGUGUAGGCGGCCCGGUAAGUCCGCUGUGAAAGUCGGGGGCUCAACCCUCGAAUGCCGGUGGAUACUGUCGGGCUAGAGUGCGGAAGAGGCGAGUGGAAUUCCUGGUGUAGCGGUGAAAUGCGCAGAUAUCAGGAGGAACACCAAUUGCGAAGGCAGCUCGCUGGGACGUGACUGACGCUGAGACGCGAAAGCGUGGGGGAGCAAACAGG